CUACGGGUUGCUGCAGUGGGGAAUAUUGGACAAUGGGGGAAACCCUGAUCCAGCAAUGCCGCGUGUGUGAAGAAGGCCUGCGGGUUGUAAAGCACUUUCGGUUGGGAGGACUGCUUCUAGCACUAAUAUUGUUGGAAGUUGACGUUACCUUCAGAAGAAGCACCGGCUAACUCCGUGCCAGCAGCCGCGGUAAUACGGAGGGUGCAAGCGUUAAUCGGAAAUACUGGGCGUAAGCGCGCGUAGGCGGCUAGAUCAGUCGGGUGUGAAAGCCCCGGGCUUAACCUGGGAACUGCAUCCGAUACUGUCUAGCUUGAGUACAGGAGAGGAGAGUGGAAUUCCACAUGUAGCGGUGAAAUGCGUAGAUAUGUGGAGGAACACCAAUGGCGAAGGCAGCUCUCUGGCCUGAUACUGACGCUGAGGUGCGAAAGCGUGGGGAGUAAACAGGAUUAGAUACCCCCGUAGUC
rnacentral:rRNA from 1 species